rnacentral:rRNA from 1 species
GCAAGUCGAACGAGGUAGCAAUACCUAGUGGCGCACGGGUGGGUAACGCGUGGAUAAUCUGCCCUUCACUGGGGAAUAACUAAUCGAAAGGUUAGCUAAUACCGCAUGAGGCCACAGUUUCUGAGGAAGCAGUGGUUAAAGAUUUAUUGGUGAAGGAUGAGUCUGCGUGGGAUUAGCUAGUUGGUGAGGUAAUGGCUCACCAAGGCUACGAUCUCUAACAGGUCUGAGAGGAUGACCUGUCACACUGGAACUGAGACACGGUCCAGACUCCUACGGGAGGCAGCAGUAGGGAAUAUUGCGCAAUGGACGAAAGUCUGACGCAGCGACGCCGCGUGAGUGAUGAAGGCCUUAGGGUCGUAAAGCUCUGUUGCAGGGGAAGAAAAAAAUGACGGUACCCUGCGAGAAAGGAUCGGCUAACUUCGUGCCAGCAGCCGCGGUAAGACGAGGGAUCCUAGCGUUGUUCGGAAUCAUUGGGCGUAAAGCGCAUGUAGGCUGCCAUUCAAGUCAGUUGUGAAAGCCCCGGGCUCAACCCGGGAAGUGCUUCUGAUACUGUUUGGCUUGAGUACUAGAGAGGAUAGUAGAAUUCCAGGUGUAGUGGUGAAAUACGUAGAUAUCUGGAGGAAUACCGGUG